UUUUUUUUUUUUUUUUUUUUGGUCUUUUUGCCAUUUCUAGGGCCGCUCCCGUGGCAUAUGGAGGUUCCCAGGCUAGGGAUCCAAUCGGAGCUGUAGGCACCAGCCUACACCACAGCCACAGCAACGUGGGAUCCAAGCCGCAUAUGCGACCUGCACCACAGCUCACGGCAACGCCAGAUCCUCAACCCACUGAGCAAGGCCAAGGAUCGAACCCACAACCUCAUGGUUCCUAGUUGGAUUCACCAACCAUGACGGGAACUCCAUGACUGCAAGUCUUUAUCAUGGUCUCCUAGCCCCCUGCUGCAAACCUUCACACACACACACACACACAUACACACACACACAGAGCACCUAUGUCCACUCCUGACCACCAGCCUGGAGAGUGACACUCUGCCCCUUCCUCCUUCCCCUCCCCUUUUGCAACCCAAAUACUCCACUUUCCAUAAAGAAGGAACUAUUACUUGCAUCUCAUUCCCAUCUGCUACAGACUAUGAUUAAUUAACACCCUUCAUUAUAAAAUCUCAACACAACAAAGUGAGACAAAGUCCCAGUGUCCCUCAUGACGGAUGUUUUAAACAUCUAUGCAUGUAACAAGGCUACAGAAUCAUCUACUUACUCAGCACACUGCCCACAUCACUCCAGGGCUGGGACCAAAUCUUCUUUAUAUGCCAGCCACACAAGGCCGUCCAUGAUAAAAGGGUCCCAUCCACUCCACUUCAUAGGUCUCUUGCCACCAGCCACCUAGCAUCGUGUCCCCAGUGUCUAUAUCCCCCUGCACACAUCAGGCUGCGCUCUGUGACUCACAAUGCUCCUGCUCACCUGUGCUCCUUCCUUAAUCAGCUCCAAUAGGACCCUCUCAAAAAGGAGGUGCCCCAGAGUUGGGUGCAAUGUCUCCAGGGCUACCACAGGCCCCGUGCACCUGCCUGAAAGCUCCAUUCUGUUUAGUAAUGAUUCCCUCUUCUUUAUCUCACUCUUCCAUCUCAUUAAGAACAGUACCUUAUUAAACUUUGUCUCUCUAGAAAUGAGCACACACCAUGACUGACAGCAUUCGAGCAACAAAUCCAUCCAUUCAUGAAUUCAAGCCACAGUGUUAACACCGAACAGAGAGAGGUAUCAGCCACGGUCUCUCUCUUACAAAUUUCUGACAUCACUGCAGGGCACAUUACUCCUAAAUACACUGUCAUCUGAUAAACCAACCAAGAGAAAAAGAAUGCAUUCAUUAUACAUCAGUCCUGAAACAGAUCAAAGACAAAAACAUGUCAUCUGGCCCAUGAGCAAAAAAGCAAGGAAUCUUGCAGCAAUAUGAUUUUCAAUUUGCAUAAAUUGUGCAAGUUUCUUUGAAGUCGAGUGAGAGUAAGGUAGAAUACAAUCAAGUUUAAAAUUUUGACACUCUGACUCUUUCUUCAGUGUACAAAAGCUUGGGGAAUUCAAGAAGAAGUUGCUUUGCACAAACAAAAGCAAAUGCCUCAUCAGUGUGAGAAAUGUCAGUGGUCCCAACAGCAGAGUAGUUUCUCGUGUGCCUCCCUUCAUCCCACAGGACUUUAAAGUUAAAUGCUGAGCCCUUUUAGAAGGACAACUACUCAAAGAGAACAUAGUAGGGAGACCAAAUGGAUGCUUUGCAAUGUCUUAACUCAUGCCUACCAUGAAAUCAAAAGUCCCAUGAGCUAGGUUCCAACAGUCAGUGACUAUGAGGGGAGGCAGAUGCCUCUCUGGGACCCAGAGGCACCACUCCCUUUGAGGUCCUCUGAGGAGAUGUGGUGGUGUUACCUGAGCAUCCUAAGAGAAGGGCCCCCCAUCCCAGCCCCGCCAUGCUGGAUGCUGACCUUCAACCCUGCCAGCCUCACUCAUGUCCAGCCACAGGGCAGAGCGGCAGCCACUCAGCAGGGAAAUCUGUUCUACAACAGUGAGCCCCAACAAAAGAAUUCUAGACCAAGACACUGCUUUGUUCAAGCACAUAUUUUUGUUCACAGGAGCAGAAAUUGAGAUCCAUUUUCAACAACAAAGGGUCUCAAGAUUUUUAAACCUGAGCACCAAUAAUCCAAACACCAAAGCUAUAAUUCACACAUGCAACAAAAUUUUAACAGUUGGUCUUUUAAAAAAAAUUAGCUCAUUUUCAGGCUCCAUAUGCACAAGUUACCUUAAACUGGUAAGAACUGAACAUUUUAUACAUGUUUCAAUGCAAUACUUAUCCAAGAAUUCCUGCUUUCUCUAUAAAACAGGCAUGGUUAUAAUGUGAUAGGUCUGUAGCCCAAAUUCAUUCUUGAGCCUAUUAGGUUUGAUAAGACUUUUUACCCAUACUGAAACUCUACUAACUUUCCAUUUUAUUUCAGUUAAUGUUCCAUAAAGAAAAUUCCUGCUCUACUUACUACAAAUGAGAAACUGCAGUCACUACUUGGAACAUAGAUGAUUGGCAAAAAAAAAAUAAACCCUGCAAUUUUUAAGGCAAAUAACGGUGCUAGGUACAUCAUAAUAAACAAGGUCAGUAAAAGAUUGAGACUAACCCCUCCUUCCAGGGGAUUAGGAAGAAACCUUAAACACAGAAAAGAUAUUUACAUGAUAGGAACAUUUUGUUCAUACCCACUGUUUCACGCAUCUACUCUGUCAGAGGCUGGAAGAUGCUGGGCAUAUAAAGAGAAACACUAGUUUUCAGGAUACUCACAAGCCAUGAAACUGUAUGCAAACUGACAUGCACACAUGCAAUUUUCUAUAGGGAGAAUAAAACUUAACAAAAGGGUGCACCAUCACCAAAAGAUGAAGAAUUGCUGAUACAGACAAUACAUGGUGGAGAGUUGCCAAGGAAUAUGUUACUUCCAAAUAAAGUGUUACCAAGAAAUGUUACUUUCCAAAUAAGAAAAGAGGAUUUUCCAUAGGCCUCAGAGGGGGCAGAGCUUCACAGGCCAAAGCUAAGAGAAAUGGUGUAGAGUGUUGGGAAAGGGAACUGGGGACCAAAACUGUGGCACAGCAUCAUUCCAGCAAGAACGUCGGACACUGCAGUGGCUGCUCAGGCAAGCUGGAAACACAUCACCGAGGGCAACACACAGUCUAAGAAUCAGACCACCAGGGCUCAAGUGCCACCGCUGUACAACCUUGACAUAUGGUAUCACCUAGUCCUGACGUAGGUAUGAAGAUUAAAUGAGAUAAUGAACAUAAACAGUGCUAAGCACAGCCCCUGGCAGCCAGCAAGGCUCCACAGCGAUCCCUGGAAUGCUGACCACCAUCACUGCUGUUUGACCCAAUGCCACUCCCCUAGGAAAGUCCAUCUAAAGGAGAGGUGGGCUCAAGGGCAGGACGCAUUGUAGGCUCCUGGCAUCACAGCACACUUCUCCCUUGUAUCUGACCUGAGGAUUUACCAGGACACUCUCAGCUUUCCUCCCCUUAUCACCUCCACCUGCUUCAACUUGGCUGCUAAGAGAAGGGUUGGCUGUUUGCCCCCACAGGACUCUACCAACUCCUCCUUCCAAAGUGUCCCAAAUUUUUGAACCAACUACAACUGGAGAAUAGAGACAAAUUAGGUCUAGAGGCUAUGUUGGCUAGGCAUUCAGUACCAAACACUAGAAACACAACUUAAAAGACAUAAACAAAAAGUGAUGUGUCCAGGGACAGAUGGUUCAAAAGAUGUGACAGCAAAACUCUCAUCCCAGCUCCACUUUCCUCUGUGUUCAUUCCAUCCUGUCUCUUGAUUGCUUCAGCCUAAGACCUGUGGCUGAUUCCCGCUGGCUGAUAACUCUGUCCAGGCCUGGGGAGAGUGCCCACACUUAACUCAGCUGCACGAGCAGUCACAAAAACCAAAAAUAAAGUGGGAAGUCUCCCAAAAGAAACUAAAAGUGUAAUGAACAGAAAACAUAGGGAAUGCAUGCUAGACAGGCACAAAUAACACAUAUCUGUCAAAGGAACAUAUGAUUAUAUUCAUGCCUUCAGGAAGCAUCAUGAUUCUUGGCAUUAUAUUCCCAUCUGUUUAUUUGAAUCUAUUAGAACUGUUCUGGCUAAAGUUGACCAAAGAAAAACAAAAAACAAAAAACCUAAAAGAUGUCUCAAUCAAAAAGAUAAUUUGUUAUGUGACUACAAAGACUGCAUUAGGAGAUAAAUCAUGGCUGGUCUAAUGAACAAAUCAUGAAAAUCAUUUCCUCCUAAGCCUAACAUCCGACAUUCCAGUUACUCUUGGGGGUAAAGAUGGCCAUGUGCCCCAGUGCUCGACAUGAGCCAGUCUGCUGAGAGGCAUCUGCUUCCUGCUAAAUGGGAGCCCCUUUGUCCUAAAGUUGUGACAGCCAAGAAGUAACAAGCAUAAAGGGGCAGUUAGCAUAAGGAAAGUAGAUAAGCUUGAGCCUUAAUAACAUCACUGGGAAGCUGAGCCAAGAAAAAUGAGAAUAAAUCCCUACAUCAGCUGCUUCAAUUCAAUCCUGUUACUUGCAGCUGAGAGCAAUCCUAACUGGUCUGGCAGACCAGGGACCCAAGUUCUUUUCACCUUUCCUUACCAUGAUGUUCUUAUCAAAAGAGGGAGACAACUGUUGUAAGUGUCACAAUGAGAAGAAAUACAUGUCAAGUAAAGAGGAAAUGCUCUCCAGAAGUCCUUUAGCAGGUGUCUUGGCAUAUCUUGUGGGCCAGAACUACAUCAUAUGCUUAUACCUCAAUUCAAGUGGUAAGGAAAAUGGUAUUUCAAUGUUUUACUCCUGAAAUGGGAUCACUUUCUGAAGGAAAACAAAGUUUCUACUAAUAAGAAAAGUAUAAGGUGAACAGAUGCUUCUUAGGCAACUCACAAUGCCAAUUAUCAUAGCAAUUACUAGAUAGCAUUUUAAUAUUACUUUUCAUACAUACAUACAUGUCUCACAAAAGGGAAGAAACAAGGGUGACAAUUUCAGUGUAUUUUUGCUGCUUCAGUGGGAUAAAAGCGAGUUAAUAUUUACCAUCUAAAAGCAUUAUUUUUUGAAUUUUUUAAAAAACUUUAUUACAUUUAUAAUUGUAAAGUGAUCAUCACAACCCAACUUUAUUGCAUUUCCACCCCAAACCCCCAGCGCAUGUCCCCACCCCCCAACCUGUCUCAUUUGGAAACCAUAAGUUUUUCAAAGUCUGUGAGUCAGGAUCUGUGCUUCAAAGAAGUUCACUGUGUCCUUUUUUUAGAUUCCACAUGUAAGUGAUAGCAUAUGAUGUUGGUGUCUCACUGUCUGACUGACUACACUUAGCAUGAUAAUUUCGAGGUCCAUCCAUGUUGCUGCAAAUGCUGUUAUUUCUUUCCUUUUAAUGGCUGAGUAAUGUUCCAUUGUGUAUAUGUACCACAUCUUCUUGAUUCACUCCUCUGUCGAUGGAUAUUUAGGUUGUUUCCAUGUCUUGGCUAUUGUAUAUAGUGCUGCAAAAAGCAUUAUUAAAUACAUAUGAGUACUAAGAAUAGCCCCAGAAAAUGUCAUAUAAUAAAAAUGUAUACAAAAGCUAACCAUUAAAGGCUGUUUAAAAACAUGGAAAAGAAGUGCCACAUAAAAAGUAUGUUGAAACGCUCAUACACUGCUGCUAAGAGGGUACAUUAGUACAGCCACUUUAGAAGGCAAUUUGGAAGUACCUACUAAAAUUUUAAGUGCCACAUACUCCAUGCCUCAAAUAUUUUACUUCUCAGUAUAUAUCCUGGAAAAA
rnacentral:lncRNA from 1 species